rnacentral:sRNA from 1 species
AAAGAGAAAUUGUAAAGUCGUCGUGGGGGAUUGGGUGAGAAAGAGAGGUUUCUUACAAAUUGAUUUUCGUUUAGAAAUUAAAAUUAGAGAAUUAAACCGAAAUUGGUUUGAGGGCAAAAUGGACAAUUUUUAUAUUAGAAGUGCCUUGUGUUUUGAAAGUGUCGUAUCUCGGAAAUUGUUUGAGAAAAGUGUCUUAGAGUGUAAUAUUCUCUCAGUUCAAUAUGCAUAAGUAUAU